ACGGCCAUAUCCCGUUGAAGCACCAGCUCUUGUCCGAUCACCAAAGUUAUGCAACGUCGAGCCUAAUCAGUAACUAGACGGGUGCCCACUUGGGAGUACCACGUGCUGUGA